rnacentral:snRNA from 1 species
GUGCUUGCUUGAGUAGCUCAUGUACUAAAAUUGGAAUGAUACAGAGACAAUGAGCAUGGCCCCUGAGCAAGGAUGACAUGUAAAUUUGAGAAGUGUUCCAUAUUUUU